GGGCCAAUGAUGGCUUCAAGUUUCCAAUCAGCCAGAAGAUAGGAACUGCCAUCUGCUGAGAUGCAGAGGGCUACUGGAGGAGCAGGACCAUGGGGGAAAAGAACCAGGAGCUACAAUUUGGUCAUGCUGAGUCUGACAUAUGCAGUAGACGCCCAGGUGGAAAUGCUGAGGAGACAGCUGGAUAUGUAAGUUCAAAGUCCAGGAAAGAGGACAGGACUACAAACAAUAAAUGUAUGAGUCAACAGAAAAUCAAGUUAAAGCCCGUGUUCCUGGAUGAGAUCAUGAGGGGAACAAGUAGUGAAGAGUUAGAUGGUGCCGAGAAGACAGAUGAGGGCUGAACCAUUAAACUCCAUGUGUGACACCUAAGGGAAGAGAGGAAGCCAGCCAAGAGACUGAGCAGGAGCAGCCAGGGUGGUAGGACACCCAGCAGGUGUGUUGUCCUGGAAGCCAAGUAUAGGAAAAUGCACCAAGAAGGAGGAAGUGAUCAGCUGUGCCAGAAGCUGUUGAUAUGUCAGAAUGCAAGCUCCUUGAGAGAAGGUACCUUAUCACUUUUUCUCGCUGUUGUAUCUCUAGACUAGAAUGGAAUUAAAUCCUUGUGAAAUGCGUCAAUGAAGACGAGAAUACAGUGUCCAGCAGGACUACAUGAUCACUCCUACUUCUUGGUCCCUCAUGUUCAAAGGCAAUAAAUAUCUUACAAUUGUAUUCUUUUCAUUGCUAGAGGAAUAAAUGGUUGAUGAAAUAUAA